AGAUUUUAGAGGAAGGAGAAGUCGUAACAAGGUUUCUGUAGGUGAACCUGCAGAAGGAUCAUUUGCACAUGUGUAGCCAACUGCAUGCUAAUGAUAUUGUGGGCAACUGUAAGCAUGUAUUGCAAUGGACUUGCACUUGCCCUGGGCAGCAUGAUUUGUUUUUCAAGCAUGUGUGCUGUAGUGUGUGAUGUGUUUUGUAAACUGUUUGCAUUUCUCUAGUUGCUGCAACAAUUAUGUUUUGCAAGGAAUGUCUUAGCUCAAUAAAUGAUGAAGAAUGCAGCAAAAUGCAAUAUGCAUUGCGAAUUGCAGAAUUCCGUGAGCUAACAGAUGUUUGAAUGUUACUUGUACCUUUGGGAUAUUCUUGAAGGUUUGCUUGGUUUAAUGCAAAGUAGCUUUCAUAUACAUUUAAUGCUGAUUAGCAUUGUUGUGAACAAUAAAGGUCAAUGUUUUGCAUUGAACCUGGAUGUCAUACAGUUGUUUACAACCUAAACAUGGUUUCGUGGGGCAGACCUGUUUCGUCAUUUGAUGGUUGAUAUUGUAAAUGUGCACAACUGGGACAAGCUGAAGACUUGCAUAUGCUAAGCGUGAAGUGAAGCACAUAAACCUGCUGAAUUUAAGCAUAUAAGUAAGUGGUGGAAAUUAAACCAAU
rnacentral:rRNA from 1 species